AGUAUAAUUGCCAGGUCAAAUAGUAACUCUGUUUCACUCUUUUGAGAUACUGCCAUAUUGUUUUCCAGAGUGGCUGUACCAUUUACAUUAUUAUUAGCUGU
rnacentral:pre_miRNA from 1 species